UUUUAGUGCUCUCGCCUAAUAUUUACUUGUGAAAUCGAUCAGGUCUGGAAGGAAGCAGUCGUAGCAAGCUAAGUAGAAAACGGGAAGUCGUUAAAAGGA
rnacentral:SRP_RNA from 1 species